rnacentral:rRNA from 1 species
AACGCUGGCGGCAUGCUUAUACAUGCAUGUCGAACGAGAAAGUCACUUCGGUGGCGAGUACAGUGGCGCACGGGUGAGUAACGCGUAGAUGAUCUACCCUUCAGUCUGGGACAACUCUUGGAAACGGGAGCUAAUACCGGAUAAAACCUUCGGGUUGAAAGAUUUAUCGCUGGGGGAUGAGUCUGCGUACCAUUAGCUUGUUGGUGGGGUAACGGCCUACCAAGGCGACGAUGGUUAGCGGGUCUGAGAGGACGAUCCGCCACACUGGAACUGAGACACGGUCCAGACUCCUACGGGAGGCAGCAGUAGGGAAUAUUGCGCAAUGGGGGCAACCCUGACGCAGCAAUGCCGCGUGAGUGAAGAAGGCCUUCGGGUCGUAAAGCUCUUUUAUGGGGGAAGAUGAUGACGGUACCCCAUGAAUAAGCACCGGCUAACUACGUGCCAGCAGCCGCGGUAAUACGUAGGGUGCGAGCGUUGUUCGGAAUUACUGGGCGUAAAGGGCGUGCAGGCGGAUUGGCAAGCCGGAGGUGAAAGCCCGGGGCUCAACCCCGGAGGGUCUUUCGGAACUGCCAGUCUUGAGAGGGUCAGGAGCCAGCGGAAUUCCUGGUGUAGAGGUGAAAUUCGUAGAGAUCAGGAGGAACACCGGCGGCGAAAGCGGGUGGCUGGG